GUCACUCCCACUGAAUAGCUGAAGGAGGAACAUUCACAGACUUGCCACAAUCACACAAAGAGAAUAAGUUGUUUCUACUGAGAAUAGUUCGAAGAACAGCACUUGACAUGGAGAAAAAAGUUUUUUGUUGGAUAUUUUUGCUUGCAUGUUUUCAUGCAGCCUCAACACAAGACACCUUACCUGCAGCAGGAUUCAUCAUUUUCCCAUUCAUUCCAAACACUUCAACGCCCACAGCGCAAGACUUCAUAUCACUGGCCCUCCAAAUGAAGAUAACUACCUUUGGAGAAGUCAGCAGUGUAACUAUCAUUGCGCUUGUUGAACAGGUUCUGAGAGAACGGCUCUUGAAUGGAACAGCUCACACAGCAACUGUGACAAAUAUUCAAAGAGUUAAAAUUGGCCCAUAGAAGCUUCAUGUGGACGGGAACAGUCCGAAGUGAAUGCAAAAUGACAGCAAUUCAAGCAUGGGCUGGAGGUAUUGCUUCAACAUCAUCUGAAGCAGAAGUAGACCUCAAUCGUUUCAUUGCAUCUGAAAAUAUUUUCUACAGUUUGAGCCUCCUAUCAAAUGUCAUUGUUCUCCACUGAGCUACAGCGGUUUUAUCAUUUUAUCAAAUCAAAUAUUUGCAGUACCAUGCUGGUGGUUAUAUGGAAAUUUUGGGGUUGACCCAUGUAUGAAACUGCAUAGAACAAGGAAGUUUAAAGCAAGAAAUUUAAUCUGUCAAAGAGAUUUAUAAGUGCCAGUAAUUAUCGUGCUUUGCAUAGUAACUGGAGAAGCGAGUGUCAUGUUGGAAAACCUGGCAACCAGGUAACAAGUAAAGUACGUGACUCAUUCACCCCUCCCUUUCUUGAAACUUAAAUGAUGAAUCCUCCACUUAAGACAUUUGCCACUAUUUCCUGAGUGAGUGUCUCAUAGCAAGGGUUUGCAUACCAUACCCCAAAUCAGAGAAAUCUAUUGUCACUCAGGUGUUACUGACACAAUGUGCAGCAUAUCUACUGGAUCUGAAUCUGUCUUUGUUCUUGUGACAAGAGUCAGUUAAACCUUGUAUUUUUAUAGACUCAUCUUUCCAGUUCAUGAGAAAGCCAAGAUUUGACAUACCAAAGUAGGAUAACCAAGUUUUGAUUAUGGCAGCCGUUUAUGUCUGUAAUUUCUUUUCCUUUCUGCACAGGUCUGUACAGCAACAGACAGCGUAUUUCUUCUCGGUGUUACUGAUUGUCAGUAUACACAAGCUACCUCUAUGACUGCCCACUAAAUAAUUACACAACA